rnacentral:rRNA from 1 species
GACGAACGCUGGCGGCGUGCUUAACACAUGCAAGUCGAACGGCGUGCCGAACGGGUGAGUAACACGUGGGUGACCUGCCCUGCACUUCGGGAUAAGCCUGGGAAACUGGGUCCUAUACCGGCUAGUGGGGGAUGGGCCCGCGGCCUCUCAGCUUGUUGGGGGGGUAAUGGCUUACCAAUGCGGCGACGGGUAGCCGGCCUGAGAGGGUGGACGGCCACAUUGGGCCUGAGGCAGGGGCCAGGGUCAGACGGGGGGCAGCAGUGGGGAAUAUUGCACCAUGUGCGGAAGCCGGAUGCAGGGACGCCGGGUUGGGGAUGACGGCCUUCGUGGUGUAAACGCCUUUCACCGUCGACGCGGUAGAGGGAGAAGAAGCACCGGCUAACUACGUGCCAGCAGCCGCGGUAAUAC